UUUAUACAGGGUGUUCUAUUAUUGAUAGCAGAAAAUUAUACCAGUAAAUUAAACUUAUUAAGACAAAUGGAAAAGCUCUCUACCAAAUUUCGCUCUGAGGCCUGAUUCGGAAGAUUUUAGAUCGAAAUUUUGUAAAGAGCUUUUCCAUUUGUUUUGAUA